AAAGGUGUCUAUAACCGGGGGGAUCCACCUCUUUCCAUUCCGAACAGAGAAGUUAAGCCCCUGAGUGCCGA
rnacentral:rRNA from 1 species